rnacentral:rRNA from 1 species
UACGGGGGGGGGCAAGCGUUGUUCGGAAUUACUGGGCGUAAAGGGCUCGUAGGUGGCCAACUAAGUCAGACGUGAAAUCCCUCGGCUUAACCGGGGAACUGCGUCUGAUACUGGAUGGCUUGAGUUUGGGAGAGGGAUGCGGAAUUCCAGGUGUAGCGGUGAAAUGCGUAGAUAUCGUAAGGAAGACCAGUGGCGAAGGCGGGUCUCUGGACAGUUCCUGACGCUGAGGCACGAAGGUCAGGGGAGCAAACGGG